rnacentral:tRNA from 1 species
CAUUAGGAAGCUAUGCAACAGCACUAGCCUUUUAAGCUAGAAAAAGAGGACCACCAACCUCCCUAAUGA